CCUGGACUGUUAUAACAAAUGUCAUAGAGUCUGGGGGCUUAAACAAUAGAUGAUUAUUUUCUCGUUGUUCUGGAAGUUGAAGUUCAAGAUCAGUGUGCCACCACAGGUUCUUGGGAUUUGUGGAGCAAUUUUGAAAGUCAAGUCAGAGAACCUUGGAAUUCGUAUGCAGGCAAUUUGUACCAAGUUGUCAGCGCCAGCAGUGGAUGUUUUAAUGUAUGUGCACAUAAUUCUCCCAUAUGAGAUAUGAUCUCAUUCACGUUUUGAGUGUGAAGAAAGGAUUCGGAAGGAGCAUGGGGCCAGGGAUGUUUUUCCCAACACCAGUACAUCUGCACAUUGAGAGGAGGAGCCUGCAUUAGUUAUCUGUUGCUGUUUGCCUCUGCUUUAUGAUAUCUGGGGCCGCAGCUGGAGGAUUCAGAGAUGAGGAGGCUGAAACCAUCUACAGGCUUGAUGCAGGUAGGAGAACCCGCUUCCAAGGAGGCUCACUCAUGCAGCGGGCUACUUGGUGCUGCUCCACCUGAGCCUCUUGAUACAGGAACAUGUCUACACGAGGACAUGCUCACCAGGCUGCUGGAGCGUCAACAUGGUGCUUAGCUUCUCCCAGAGUGAGUGAGCUGACCGAGACAAACGCAGACCUCUCCCCUUUUGCCUGAACCUGCUGACAAAGCAGGCCCUCCAACCUGAUCCUUCAACUUCCUAUUCUUUGCCUCACAUUUGAUUAGCUAAAAUUAGAACUGCUUUGUUCCCUUGUAAGCAGCUCACCAGAAAAAACUUCUCCUCUUUGGAUAACUAAGACUUCUGCUGGCAAAAAAAAAUCCCAGACUGUAAAUCUGUAACUUGUUACCCCUUCCUAUAAAGCCAUCCU